GAAACCCUGGCAUAGAAACCCUGGAGAUCAACUUGAAAGCUUCCGAGUAAAGAAACCCUGAAGGCCGCUCAUUCGCUCCGAAGCUACCGCCGCCCAACUCCGCCCGAUACCAAAAGCGAUCUGCCAGUUCAGUGUUACAAUUCAGCUGCAACAGGUUUGCGCGUCAUUAUUGUUUUAUACUUCCAAGUUGUAACCUCUAAAUACAUAAUGCAUCAUAAUCGAAU
rnacentral:lncRNA from 1 species